rnacentral:rRNA from 1 species
UCCUACGGGAGGCAGCAGUGGGGGAUAUUGCACAGUGGGGGGAACCCUGAUGCAGCGACGCCGCGUGGGUGAAGAAGCGCCUCGGCGCGUAAAGCCCUGUCAGCAGGGAAGAAAAUGACGGUACCUGAAGAAGAAGCCCCGGCUAACUACGUGCCAGCAGCCGCGGUAAUACGUAGGGGGCAAGCGCUAUCCGGAUUUACUGGGUGUAAAGGGGGCGCAGACGGCGAUGCAAGCCAGGAGUGAAAGCCCGGGGCCCAACCCCGGGACUGCUCUUGGAACUGCGUGGCUGGAGUGCAGGAGGGGCG